rnacentral:rRNA from 1 species
AUACGAAGGAUCCGAGCGUUAUCCGGAUUUAUUGGGUUUAAAGGGUGCGCAGGCGGCCAUUUAAGUCAGCGGUUAAAUCGUGGGGCUCAACCCCAUUCUGCCGUUGAUACUGGGUGGCUUGAUUGCGGUCGAGGUUGGCGGAAUUCGUUGUGUAGCGGUGAAAUGCAUAGAUAUGACGAAGAACACCGAUUGCGUAGGCAGCUGACCAGACCGCAAAUGACGCUCAUGCACGAAAGUGCGGGGAUCGAACAGGAUUAGAUACCCUGGUAGUCCGCACAGUAAACGAUGAAUACUUGUUUUCGGCGAUAUAAUGUCGGAGGCAAAGCGAAAGCGAUAAGUAUUCCACCUGGGGGGUACGCCGGCAACGGUGAAACUUAAAGGAAUUGACGGGG